AUUGAACGCUGGCGGCAUGCCUUACACAUGCAAGUCGAACGGUAACAGGUUAAGCUGACGAGUGGCGAACGGGUGAGUAAUGUAUCGGAACGUGCCCAGUCGUGGGGGAUAACUGCUCGAAAGAGCAGCUAAUACCGCAUACGACCUGAGGUUGAAAGCGGGGGAUCGCAAGACCUCGCGCGAUUGGAGCGGCCGAUAUCAGAUUAGGUAGUUGGUGAGGUAAAGGCUCACCAAGCCGACGAUCUGUAGCUGGUCUGAGAGGACGACCAGCCACACUGGGACUGAGACACGGCCCAGACUCCUACGGGAGGCAGCAGUGGGGAAUUUUGGACAAUGGGCGCAAGCCUGAUCCAGCCAUGCCGCGUGCGGGAAGAAGGCCUUCGGGUUGUAAACCGCUUUUGUCAGGGAAGAAAAGGUUCUGGCUAAUACCUGGGACUCAUGACGGUACCUGGAGAAUAAGCACCGGCUAACUACGUG
rnacentral:rRNA from 1 species